CACACUGUGUACGUCACACCGAGGCAGCUCGCCACGUGAGUACCAUGCACUAGAGUGGGACGGCUAUAGGGGCUCCCCUGGCCACGUUCCCCGCCCCGGACCUCACUGGAGCCCUAGCGCCGCGGACGGUGCCCGUGGGCGCCCUGCAGUACCCCGCGCCGAGCAACACUGAACACACUGUGUACGUCACACCGAGGCAGCUCGCCACGUGAGUACCAUGCACUAGAGUGGGACGGCUAUAGGGGCUCCCCUGGCCACGUUCCCCGCCCCGGACCUCACUGGAGCCCUAGCGCCGCGGACGGUGCCCGUGGGCGCCCUGCAGUACCCCGCGCCGAGCAACACUGAACACACUGUGUACGUCACACCGAGGCAGCUCGCCACGUGAGUACCAUGCACUAGAGUGGGACGGCUAUAGGGGCUCCCCUGGCCACGUUCCCCGCCCCGGACCUCACUGGAGCCCUAGCGCCGCGGACGGUGCCCGUGGGCGCCCUGCAGUACCCCGCGCCGAGCAACACUGAACACACUGUGUACGUCACACCGAGGCAGCUCGCCACGUGAGUACCAUGCACUAGAGUGGGACGGCUAUAGGGGCUCCCCUGGCCACGUUCCCCGCCCCGGACCUCACUGGAGCCCUAGCGCCGCGGACGGUGCCCGUGGGCGCCCUGCAGUACCCCGCGCCGAGCAACACUGAACACACUGUGUACGUCACACCGAGGCAGCUCGCCACGUGAGUACCAUGCACUAGAGUGGGACGGCUAUAGGGGCUCCCCUGGCCACGUUCCCCGCCCCGGACCUCACUGGAGCCCUAGCGCCGCGGACGGUGCCCGUGGGCGCCCUGCAGUACCCCGCGCCGAGUAACACUGAACACACUGUGUACGUCACACCGAGGCAGCUCGCCACGUGAGUACCAUGCACUAGAGUGGGACGGCUAUAGGGGCUCCCCUGGCCACGUUCCCCGCCCCGGACCUCACUGGAGCCCUAGCGCCGCGGACGGUGCCCGUGGGCGCCCUGCAGUACCCCGCGCCGAGCAAUACUGAACACACUGUGUACGUCACACCGAGGCAGCUCGCCACGCUGAGAGAGCUGGUGGCUGAACUCAAAUCGGACGACGUGAAACUGGAACUCAAGCCGCUGGACACCACAGUCUGCGCUGCGUAGACUUUCUAAGAGAAUUCAUCUAAGAAAAUUAGUAAAAAGUUAUAAUUUCCAAACGAAUAUUAUUUCUACUCGUGGACUGUAAUGGUUUAAUUCAGGCUUCGUAUACCAAACUGAAAUCUUAUACUUUUUUUCACUAUGGCAUCCCAACUCAACUAAUAUAUUCCUAUCGAAACGCUUUAGUCAACUAUAAUAAAUUUAACCAAUCACGUGCGGGCGCGGCUGACGGAACAAAACGAUAACUCUAAUUAAUUAUUUAUGUUAGGUUGUAUAGUAGGAACAAUUGCUUCUUAUGGCAGAAACGCGCAUGUGACAUCCUUAAUAUAGCAACAUCCAUAGACUACGAAGACCGCUUAGCGUUCCUUGUUAGUCUCCAUUGUCUACGGUG